rnacentral:lncRNA from 1 species
AUUGCUGUCUGCCGACAGCACCACCUGAGCUGUGAAGGACGCUAUGAACGUGGUAGGGCUGAGAGCUCAGACCGAGAGAGGGAGAGCACCAUGCAGCUUCUCAGCCUGGUGCAGCAUGGUCAGGGGGCAAGGAAGGCUAGCAAACAUGCUAAGGCUACAGUCGCGACUGCCACUACCACAGCUCCUCCACCGCCCCCUACUGCCCCUCCUGUGGCCUCCCAAGCGGCAGCCACGGCCCCACCACCUCCACCAGACUAUCACCAUCACCAUCAGCAGCACCGGCUGACCAGUAAUGAUAACGGUGGGAUAAACCGAGAGCAGCCGCCAGCUUCGACCCCGGGGGACCAGCGGAACUCAGCCCUGCUUGCG